CAAUAGCGUAUAUUAAAGUUGUUGCAGUUAAAAGCUCGUAGUUGGAUUUCGGAGUGGGCCAGUUGGUCCGCCGCAAGGUGUGUUACUGACUGGUUUGCUCUUCUUCGCAAAGACUGCGUGUGCUCUUGAGUGAGUGUGCGUAGAAUUUACGACGUUUACUUUGAAAAAUUAGAGUGUUCAAAGCAGGCUAUUGCUUGAAUACAUGAGCAUGGAAUAAUGGAAUAGGACUUUUGGUCCCAUUUUGUUGGUUUCUAGGCCGAAGUAAUGAUUAAGAGGGACAAUUGGGGCAUUCAUAUUCCAAUGUCAGAGGUGAAAUUCUUGGAUUAUCGGAAGAUGAACUUCUGCGAAAGCAUCUGCCAAGGAUGUUUUCAUUGAUCAAGAACGAAAGUUAGGGGAUCGAAGACGAUCAGAU
rnacentral:rRNA from 1 species